rnacentral:rRNA from 1 species
UACAGAGGUCCCGAGCGUUGUUCGGAUUCACUGGGCGUAAAGGGUGCGUAGGUGGCUUUGCAAGUCUGAUGUGAAAUCUCCAGGCCCAACCUGGAAACUGCAUUAGAAACUGUGAGGCUAGAGGCUUGGAGGGGGAACUGGAAUGCUCGGUGUAGCAGUGAAAUGCGUAGAGAUCGAGCGGAACGCCAGUGGCGAAGGCGAGUUCCUGGACAAGUCCUGACACUGAGGCACGAAAGCCAGGGGAGCAAACAGG